AGACAUCUGUUCCUCAAACACAAUUCAUAACAUUGUGUUCGUUUUCAGAAUGUCUUAGAAUAAAAAUAGAGCUGCUUCACCCAGAAUUGUAUUAAAAAUUACACUGUUUGGUUUUGCGGGUUCUAACAAUU